UACAGAGGGUGCGAGCGUUAAUCGGAAUUACUGGGCGUAAAGCGCACGUAGGCGGCUUUGCAAGUCAGGUGUGAAAUCCCCGGGCUUAACCUGGGAACUGCAUUUGAGACUGCAUUGCUAGAGUAUGGGAGAGGGAAGUGGAAUUUCAGGUGUAGCGGUGAAAUGCGUAGAUAUCUGAAGGAACAUCAGUGGCGAAAGCGGCGCGCUGGAUCCCUUCUGACGCUGAGGCGCGAAAGCCAGGGGAGCGAACGGG
rnacentral:rRNA from 1 species